GAUGAACGCUGGCGGCGCGCCUAACACAUGCAAGUCGAACGGCACCCACCUUCGGGUGGAAGCGAGUGGCGAACGGCUGAGUAACACGUGGAGAACCUGCCCCCUCCCCCGGGAUAGCCGCCCGAAAGGACGGGUAAUACCGGAUACCCCCGGGCGCCGCAUGGCGCCCGGGCUAAAGCCCCGACGGGAGGGGAUGGCUCCGCGGCCCAUCAGGUAGACGGCGGGGUGACGGCCCACCGUGCCGACAACGGGUAGCCGGGUUGAGAGACCGACCGGCCAGAUUGGGACUGAGACACGGCCCAGACUCCUACGGGAGGCAGCAGUGGGGAAUCUUGCGCAAUGGGGGGAACCCUGACGCAGCGACGCCGCGUGCGGGACGGAGGCCUUCGGGUCGUAAACCACUUUCAGCAGGGAAGAGUCAAGACUGUACCUGCAGAAGAAGCCCCG
rnacentral:rRNA from 1 species